AUGUACAAAAAGUGGAAAAAUAGUAGACCAGUUUAAACAGGUGGGUUUUGAGGAGGGAUUUGAAUGAUGCGAUAUUAUCAGACUGCCGGAUGUGUGGGGGGAGUGAGUUCCAUAGCCUGGGAGCAGAGCAGCUGAAUGCCCUAGCUUCCAUGGUGCUGAGGCGUGAGGUGGGGGUGGUCAGAAGUCCGGCUGAUGAUGAGCGGAGGGA